rnacentral:lncRNA from 1 species
AAAAAAAAAAAAAAAAAAAAGAGUGCUUCCACAUUAAAUCAAGAAAGACACACACACAAGUGAACUGGAAGAGUAUCACACCCUCUUAGGCCUCAAUGUCCACAACAUCACUGGCCACAGCUUUUAGUUUCAGGAGGUGAGAUAUGAAAACAAACCUAAUGGGCAAAGCAGAUCUAAACAGGGUAAGACCUGGAGCCCCGGCCCCAUGCAGCCUGCAGAAGGUGAGUGAGGUCGGCCUCCCCUCAUUCCACAGUUGCCUCUUUCCAGAGACCCUGGGUGUCUGGAGGGAUAUAGAGUGAUGUGGCCAGGCGCUGUGCCCGGGGAAAUGACAUUAAAAUUAGUAAUAGUAGGGGAAAAAAAAGAAAUACUUUCCUUUACAGACAACAGAAUGCAACUUGAGGCAAACCAUUCUAUACAUACAGUCUCAGAAACGAUUCCAGAUUUCCGACCUGCGUGUUUUGUUUCUUUGUUUGUUUAUGUCAAGACUUUACAAUUUGCCAUGAAUCAAAAACACACAUGAGCUCAGGGGAUAGAAAGAAAUAUUCAGAAAGAGUCUGAGUGGAAUUUGGAUUAGGAUGGGUGUUUUUUGGCUCCGAGUCCUGUGUCCAAGUGACAGCUGCUGUGCCAUAAUAAUAGAUCAGCUUACAAUACGUAGAUAUAGACAGGCAGACAAUAGACAAUCUGUGUAUGAAACAGGCUGCCUAAAAAUGCUGAUUAUCUAAAAGCUUGUGAGCCUAGGUCAUCAAAGCCAUCUCACCAGAAGCCCUGGAGGCUCUCACCUCCCACUUCAGGCUGCCCAAAGUCACAGAGCCUGUGACUCCAGGACUCAUCUUUCUACAAACGCUUUGGUUGGCCAGCGCUUCCUUUUACCGUCAGCCGCCCCUGCCCGGGACACUUGCAGAUCAGGGGACUUUGUGGGUCUCAUUGAGGCUGUAUUUGCGGAUUCAAUUACGCAUUUUUAAUUCCGCAAAUAUUUGCCACUGCUGCCUGACCUGGAGCCUGUGUGGCCAGAUCCUUUGAUCGAAAGCCGUCUGCCUGUGGAUCAGACCCUGUGGUGAGUGGUGACAGCCCAGGGGUGGGGAGGCAGAUCACCCUGCUGGGUUGCUGGGGAAGGCUGUGUGGAGGCCAUAGGGUCUGAGCAAUAUACUAAGACCUAGUUAAAGAUUUGCAGCGAGAGAAUCCAUGAAACAUGAAACACGGAGGCUGUGGGGGGUCGAGUUAGGACUCUGGAUGGCCACAUCCUGACCCCCAGAACAUGCAACCACCGCCUUGUAUGGAAAGGGGGCUUUGCGGAUGUGAUAGGGCUGAGGCUCCUGAGAUGGGUGAUUUUCUUGGAUGAUCCUGGCGGGCCAAUGAAAUCACAGGGUCCUUCUGAGAGGGAGGGAGGACAGCAGAGAGGGGAAGGUGAUGUGGCCACAGAGCCAGAGAUGACGGAAGGGGCUGCCAGCCCAGGGGUCCAGGUACCACCGGAAGAAGGAAAGACAGAGACAUGGGGUCUCCCCAUGCCCAGCCCUGCAGAGACCCUGAAUUCAGCGCAGGGGUACUGAUUUGGGGGUUAUGGCCUCCAGAACUGUGAGAGAAUAAGUCUCCGUUGUCUUAUGCCACCGAGUGUGCGGUACGUGUUAUGGCAGCCACAUAGCAGGUGUGAGGAAGCUGGAGAAGGGACUGAAGAUGGGGUGCAGCUGGGACCACCCUGCUGGGCUAAGGCCAGUUCUGGAAAGAGACUGAACAGCUCUCCCUCAGGAGCAGUGAGGGAGGAACCCGUGAGUCAGUGGAGGGUGGGAGGAAACGUGGGAGGAGCCUCCGACAUCCUAGAAACGCGGGGGUACCAAAGCCAGCACCGGCCUGCGGGGGGAAAGCCGGCCUCUUACGCCCUGGAAGAGGAAACUCACAGAGAUCCCCACAACGACACCCAGCUGUGCAGGAGGCCCACGUCCUGUCUCAUUUCAUUUUCUCCUCUCGGUGAACAAAAAGAGAAGAAAAUGACAGGAGCAGAAGGUCAAAGGGAAGCAUCGAGAGAAAGAGGAUGAAUUGACACCUGUGGCUAAUUGAAGUGAAAUCAGAUCACAGAGGCCAUGAGACCCACGUCCAGAGGGCCCUAGGAGGGAGCUGUGGGCUCAGCUGGUUGAUUUACUCUGGCUUGGGUCGCUGCUACUGCUUUGAGGACAAUAAGCUUGGCCAUCACCAGACACCAGAGGAUGCUGAAGGGACAGCCGGCUAGACUAUUUCAUGGACUCUCUGAGCAUGUCCUAUUGCAGUCCAGGUACAAACUUUUCCUCCAGAAAUAGACAGAGGGAUGCUGCUUCCCAAUUUCAGCAAAGGCAGUGGAAAGAUCCCGGUCAAAAGUAGAAACUCUGGGUCCAGGCCUUCCAGCUGACACUCACUCUGAUAUGGUUUGGCUGUGUUCCCACCCAAAUCUCAACUUGAAUUGUAUCUCUCAGAAUUCCCACGAGUUGUAGGAGGGAUCCAGGUGGAGGUAAUUGAAUCAUGGGGUGGGUCUUUCCCAUGCUAUUCUCGUGAUAGUGAAUAAGUCUCACCA